rnacentral:lncRNA from 1 species
UCCCUUUAGUCAUAAUGUUGUCCCAGAGCUCUCUGGCCUUCUGCAUGUUGUUACAUAAGCGGGCCUCAACCCUUGCCCAGUUCUGCAUGAUGGUACAGGAUGGAUCUCCACUCUCACUGAAGCGCUCUUCUACUUCUUGUUUCAAAUACUCCACAGCACGUGCAAAUGCAGAUCGCAGCUCUUCCAGUUCUUUACUUGAGUCUUGUGUAAAAUCCACCCUUCUUCUUAGGUAAUCCAGAUAUGCCUGCCAGAUUUCUACGUAGUCUGUUGCCUGAAUAAAGCCUGCAUUCAGAGCCUUUUCAAACAUGUCAGAAAUAAUGCAAUGAU